rnacentral:rRNA from 1 species
AUUGAACGCUGGCGGCAGGCUUAACACAUGCAAGUCGAGCGGGGUGAUGGUGCUUGCACUAUCACUUAGCGGCGGACGGGUGAGUAAUGCUUAGGAAUCUGCCUAUUAGUGGUGGACAACAUCUCGAAAGGGAUGCUAAUACCGCAUACGUCCUACGGGAGAAAGCAGGGGAUCACUUGUGACCUUGCGCUAAUAGAUGAGCCUAAGUUGGAUUAGCUAGUUGGUGGGGUAAAGGCCUACCAAGGCGACGAUCUGUAGCGGGUCUGGGAGCAUGCUCCACCACACUUGCAAUCAGACACGGCCCAGACUCCUACGGUGGGGAGCAGUGGGGAAUAUUGGACAAUGGGGGGAACCCUGAUCCAGCCAUGCCGCGUGUGUGAAGAAGGCCUUAUGGUUGUAAAGCACUUUAAGCGAGGAGGAGGCUCUUUUGGUUAAUACCCAAGAUGAGUGGACGUUACUCGCAGAAUAAGCACCGGCUAACUCUGUGCCAGCCGCCGCCGCCG